rnacentral:ncRNA from 1 species
GACCGCGAAGUGCUGGGAAACUAGCAUGCUUCGUGCGGAGCAGGGGAAAAGCUGGGGAUAACUUCAAAUGCUUACCUAUUGCUAA